CUUAGCUUGAUUAUUUCUUUGCCGUUCUCUUGUUUGGUCUUGUGAUCUGCACAGAAAUGAAGGAAAAUCAAAGCAUCCUUCUCUUCUCAAAUAGGAAGAGACUCAAACACAAACAUGUUUUGGUUCAGAUUAUGAAUCACAGACAUCAUUACAUCGAAUCCUUGAUUUACCAGACAAUGUAACUUGAAGGGAGCAAAAGACAUCUCUUGCCCGGCAACGAUUGAACAAAGUACGACUCCGUACUUAUAUAUAUUUUGCGACCCGGUGACGAGAGAUCAUGCUGUUUUCAUUUUGCUGGUCACGGCAGGGAAGUAUUCAACUCAAGCACAUCUAGAGGUUUCGAUGUCAAAAAACCUGUGGUGGUGCCAUCUAAAAGAUCAUCAGAAGCUGUAGUUGUGCCAUCUAAUACGAUUCUUACGAAAAACAGAUGUGAUGUUGUCGAAUCAAUGAUUUACCAGAUGCUUAUAACUUUUGUAAUUUUUAAACAUAUCAAUUUGUUUC